AGCCUUAAGAUUAUAUUUAAGGUAAUGCCUGCCCAGUGCUAAAGUGUUAACGGCCGCAGUACCUUGACUGUGCUAAGGUAGCAUAAUCAGUUGGCUUUUAAAUGGAGUCGGGAAUGAAUGGAUUUAUAGGGUAAAGCUGUCUCUUUUAUAUUUUAUUGAAUUUAAUUAUUAGGUGAAAAUACCUAAAAUUAAGAAAAAAGACGAGAACACCCUAGGAGUUUUUACUAAUGGUCAAUUUAAGUUGGCUUCUGGUUUUUGUUGGGGCGACAUAGGAACAAACAACUUCCUUAUUUCAUAGGCCGACUACGUAUGAAUAAUAAAACUACCCUAGGGAUAACAGCGUAAUUCUUUAUGGAGCUUGCGACCUCGAUGUUGGACUAGGAAUUUGAUUGGCUAGCCGCCACUUUAUAUUGUUCUGUUCGAACUUAAUUUCCU
rnacentral:rRNA from 1 species